rnacentral:rRNA from 1 species
GACGAACGCUGGCGGCAGGCUUAACACAUGCAAGUCGAGCGGAGAUGAGGUGCUCGCACCUUAUCUUAGCGGCGGACGGGUGAGUAAUGCUUAGGAAUCUGCCUAUUAGUGGGGGACAACAUUCCGAAAGGAAUGCUAAUACCGCAUACGCCCUACGGGGGAAAGCAGGGGAUCUUCGGACCUUGCGCUAAUAGAUGAGCCUAAGUCGGAUUAGCUAGUUGGUGGGGUAAAGGCCUACCAAGGCGACGAUCUGUAGCGGGUCUGAGAGGAUGAUCCGCCAAACUGGGACUGAGACACGGCCCAGACUCCUACGGGAGGCAGCAGUGGGGAAUAUUGGACAAUGGGCGGAAGCCUGAUCCAGCCAUGCCGCGUGUGUGAAGAAGGCCUUUUGGUUGUAAAGCACUUUAAGCGAGGAGGAGGCUACCUGGAUUAAUACUCUAGGAUAGUGGACGUUACUCGCAGAAUAAGCACCGGCUAACUCUGUGCCAGCCGCCGCCGUAACAC